ensembl:lincRNA
AUGAAGAAAAGAAGAAUAAGAGCUCCUAAGAUCAUGUAUCUAUUCUGAGUUGCUAAAGUUUGCACAGAAAUGCAGAAUCUGCUGCCUUUCAUCUAACUGCAAAGACACCAAAGACGACUCCUGGCUUCCAGGGAGACAGUUCACACCAAGGGUUUGCUGAGCUGGGCUUGUUUAUUUGCUGCACAAAGGUAUUUGUCUCUGAGCAACAAAGGAAAGCCACCACAUUGAGGUCACUCUAAUUACUCGUCUGUAUGCAAGAAAUAGUCUUCUGAAAGAACCCUUUCCACCCCUUCUUUAAUUAUGAUUUGUUUUCUGUCACUGAAAGGAUUAAACCGAAUGUGCCAAAUCAAAGUAGCGAUAUUAGCACUUUGGAGUGCAUUGAGCCAGUUCUUAAGUAAAAUAUUAAAUCACUCCUCCUGAGAGCUAGGAACAGAAUUGUCCUUGAAAAAUGGAGAUACUCACAAUAUCAGUCAUUAUUGAAUCUGGUUUAAAAUUUCUUGAAGAAGAUGAUGCUAAGUGGUACUGCUCCCUGUGGAUCUUUUCCAUAUAUCCUCCGGUACAAGUAAUCUUGAACUAUCUCCAUAGCCACAGACAUUUGCAUUUUCACCAUUUGUUACAUUUGCCAAAUGUAUCAUCAUCACCUUAUUCACUUUAUUCACCAUCACCAAAUUCAUCAUCACCUUAUUCAGCCCAAUGA